rnacentral:rRNA from 1 species
UACGUAGGCAGCGAGCGUUGUUCGGAGUUACUGGGCGUAAAGAGUGCGUAGGCGGUUUCGUAAGUCGGGUGUGAAAGCCCCCGGCUCAACCGGGGAAUUGCGCCCUAAACUGCGAGGCUGGAGUGAGGUAGGGGUGUGUGGAACUUCUAGUGGAGCGGUGAAAUGUGUUGAUAUUAGAAGGAACGCCGGUGGCGAAAGCGACACACUGGUCCUUGUCUGACGCUGAGGCACGAAAGCCAGGGGAGCAAACGGG